AGAGCAGGGCAUAGAAUACAGCACUCCCUAUGAUUGUCAUCAUUCCAGCCUGUUGUUACACAGAGGACAUCCAAGAGCAUGCUUCCAGCAGACCUGGAGAAGAACUGACCUCCUACCUCAGGCAAGGUCAACUUUAAUAAUAAACAUGAAAGAUGGGCACAGCACAGGAAGAGCACCAGUGAGCUGGCCCUUGGUUUAUGCCCCACAGACUAAAGCUUAUGUGCGUAUCUUCCAAGUGCAAUCAACUGAGAGGCUCCUCACACAACGUCGAAAGAAACCUCCAGGAAAACAGGGUGUAAAGAGUUAACAGAGGAAGCUUUGCAAUCAGAUGAACUUGAAUUCAAUGCCUGGCUCUACUGGACCUCUGCAGUCAAUGUCUCUCAGCCUCACUUCCCUCAUCUGUAAGGAAGAAGACAAGGUGUGGCAGAGGCUCAGGAAAGAAGACAGCCAAGAAAGUGUUUUUCAUCAUAGUCAUGCCACUUCUAUGCUUUACAUCUCUGAAAACAUAGGAAACUCUUGUGGGAAAGCCAGCCAUCUCUUGAGGAAAUAAGAACUUGCCAGUAUUCAUUGAUUGACAUAAUUACAAAGUGGCGCUGGCAAGCUCUGCAUUUACUGUUCAAUGUGCAUUGUGGACAAAGGAUGGACAGUUAUAAAUGGUAGAUGACACAUCACCAAUUUCCAAGACUCAUAGUCUCGGGUUUUUAAGAUGGUUCUCAGUUGGUAUGCAUGUUACUUAGAGUGGGAGUCCUACUGACCAAAGUUACACAGGAUUCAUGGCUGUUAAAACAACAAC